UAGGACUUGGAAUUAAUCAAAAAGAAAAGUCCACUGUAGGAAGAAGUCGGAAGGAACGAUUGGAAGGAGCUCAUGACUCUCGCAAUGAGCCAAGAGCCGGGAAGCCUGACGACUGAGACAGAACGAGCCAAAGAGAUACUCUGCUCCAUGCUCCUGGGAAACAAGUCAGUGAUUAACCACAAGGAACUCAAGCUGACAACACACCUGGGACAAGGAGCUUACGGAACCGUGUACGAAGCAAUGUGGCUCGGUCACAAGUUCGCGGUGAAAGUCUUCCCUCAAGGUGACACCAGCUUUGCCAAAGAGCUCGCGGUUCUCGGAGCUCACAAGCAUCCCAACGUGUUGCACAUUGCCGGCCAUUCUUUCGAUGGAGAGAAGCAGCAGUACUCGCUGGUGAUGGAGAAGAUGGACAUGGACCUAGCAAACUACCUCCUCAAGAAGAACUCCCUCUCGUUGCUGUCGAUCGUGGCAGUGAUGCUCCAAGUCGGAAUCAAAUUUGUGACCAUCUUCUCCCGCUACUGUCAUCAAGGGCCUAAAACAUACACCAAUUUUCUUGUCUGAUUAAAGUAUGAUUCCCAGAAAAAAAAUAAAAUGCCUUAGGACAUUAGAAUUAUUCAAAAAGAAAAGUCCACGGUAGACUUUUCCCACGCUAUACCUUUACAAGAAUGGUGCGGCGCUGGUAACGGACAUGGCAGCAGCGACUUUGCUCGAGGCGAUUCGAAUCGCGGACAAGGUUGGCACAAUAUCCACUUCCAGCAAGGUCUGUAGAAACCAACAUAGGAUCCUCAUCGCGGCAGUUGGCUAUGUCCGAGACUACCUCAAGCAAAUCCAGGAUCUCAACUUCGCGAGCAACGGGCCAGCCUUCGUGUGGGACGAAACCGUGGCUGUCCUUAACAGAGGCCUCCAUCUCCUCAAGUCGUGCCAAGAAGGCAAUUGGAUCACGCGGAGCCUGCUGUUCAAGGAAAGCUGCGAUGAGUUCCAGAGCAUUUAUCCCGAGAUCCACAACUGCGUCGAGCUCGUCAGCGUCUAUCUCUUUCAGCUGGCACCGUCCACCUCGCACAGAUCCAGGAUUGCCGAGGCUUACAACUCGUGCCUCAUGUGGCAGAACUCGAGCAGCAUGCUGGAAGAAGCCGGAAGGAACGAUCGGAAGGAGCUCAUGGCUCUCGCAAUGAGCCAAGAGCCGGGAAGCCUGACGACCGAGACAGAACGAGCCAAAGAGAUACUCUGCUCCGUGCUCCUGGGAAACAAGUCAGUGAUUAACCACAAGGAACUCAAGCUGACAACACACCUGGGACAAGGAGCUUACGGAACCGUGUACGAAGCAAUCUGGCUCGGUCACAAGUUUGCAGUGAAAGUCUUCCCUCAAGGUGACACCAGCUUCGCCAAAGAGCUCGCGGUUCUUGAAGCGGACAAGCAUCCCAACGUGUUGCACAUCGCCAGCCAUUCUUUCGAUGCAGAGAAGCAGCGGUACUCGCUGGUGAUGGAGAAGAUGGACAUGGACCUGGCAAACUACCUCCUCAAGAAGAAGAAGUCUCUCCCGUUGCUGUCGAUCGUGGCAGUGAUGCUCCAAGUUGCUACUGGCAUGGCGUGGCUUCACUCGAAGAAUAUAAUCCACCGGGACCUCAAGCCGCAGAACAUCUUGGUUGGCGAAGAAGACAACGAUCUCGUGAGUAUCAGGAUUGCCGACUUUGGAGUCUCGAGGCCCGAUUUCAUCUCCUCCCUCAUCAGCGAAGCCACCGCCAAGCAAGGCACCAGAAACUUCAUGGCACCGGAAGUGUGGAGCGGCGAGCGCUACACGAAAAAGGCCGACGUUUACAGCUACGGGAUGAUGAUUUACCAGCUUGUCACUGGAAACGUUCCGUUCGAGGACGGGAUGGACAUGGAGCAAGUCCUUCGAGGCGAGCGUCCUGAGGUACCAGCAACCUGUCCAGAGUUCCUGUCGCAGCUCAUGCGGGAAUGCUGGAGCCACGAUGCAAAAGAGAGGCCUUCCUUCUCGGAUAUCUGUGAGCGGCUGAAGCAGCUCAAGACCAGGAUCAUCACUGGCACCGACUCCAUCGACGAGUUACGAGCCAAGUUGGUUGAAGCAGCCAGGUCAUCUUCCUCUUCUUCGUACUCGUCGUCUUCCUCGUCCUCGUCGCACAGCAUGAACCUGGAUUCUCCUGUCCAAGCACCUGAGGGGCUUUGGACCCAAAAUCCUCCAUCUCCCGUUGUCCAGGUAAACUCUUUUGCUUUUAGUAACUCCACCUUUAGUUUCAGCCGGCACCACACCGUCCUCAGCACGUCGCACCAGCAGCAAAGCCGGAUAACAGGGCCGAGCUCUUCGAACUGGUGAAGAACGGCCUCGUCAAAAACGCCUUUGAGAAAGCUCUGUCCCUGAACGAUCCUUCCACGUUCUGGUGGCUUUGCACCAAGGUAAUCCAUUCACGUCCUCCAGCUGCUCAUCAAAGCUUUGUCAGCUCAGGUGGAGGAAAGCGUCCUGCUCACCUUCAGUGAAUCAAUGCUCAUGGAAGUGGCCGAGCAAAUCAACACCAACUUCAAGGAAGACACUGCUCGCAGGUUGCUCUGGAUGGACGAGAUCCUGGCCAUCUUGAUGUUGGUCGACACAUCACCUCGGAUGCGGAGGAUAUUGGAGAAGCUUUCACAGAACCUCCACGGCAUGAUGGCUAUAACACCUUCAAAGAACGAGCUGGGGAUGAAGCUGGCGAGAGUGCUGGAAGAUACCAACUUGGGUCUUCAUGUACGUAUGAAACUCUUCGUGUUAUUCGUUUGAUUCAAAUCGUUUGUCGUCGCAGGAUAUCCGAGUUGAGAACAGCAAAGCUGAGAAGAAAGGGAAAAGAAAACAGGGACCUAUGAUGUGAAAUAAAACAGCUAUAUAUUUCCAGCGGAACACCGGUAGUUUCUGAGUAUUGAGAUCUAAUUUUCUGCCUGCCAAAAGUAUCAACCAUGCUUCACGAAAGAACCAUAAAGAACUUACCAAUUCCCAUUCGUAACUUCGUCUCAUCCUGCCGGGAUAAACGUGAAGGAAACUUACGAGAUAAAUAUCAAAGCACAAAGGUCUCACCAUUCUUUAGUUCUUAAACUCGAGUAGACGGUGAAGAUCCCAACCUUUUCGAUCUGGCAGCAGAGCCUUGGCAGCUUCCGCCGCAGCGCAGACACCAGUAGUUCUCGUAGGAUCAUCGCUCUCCGCUCAAAGAACGAUUUUGCCGCUUUCAACUUCUCGGGAUCCCCAUACUUGUAUGGCUUGUAGACGAUCCCGGCAGCUAGCCGUUGCUUCUUGAGCUUGGCUGGACGAACGUACGCAUCGCCCAGUCUCUUCAAGCGCUUCUGGAUCACUCUCCUCCGGUACACUUGCGGCUCGGGGAUCUUGGGAUCGGCGAGCGGCAGGCGAUCCGGAGGAGGCACAGCAACCCACCUGAAAAUCCGAUCGUUCGCGUCACCGCCUCCCGCUUUGUUGCGCUUGGCCGGAUUCUUGGAGCCGGCGCCCUCGCCGUGCAAGCACUGCGUGUGGACGAGGAAUUUGCUCCGGAGCCACACGAGUAAGCGCCUGCUCUUGAUCCCUUCCUUCGCGUGAGAUUGCGCGAUCCAAUCGGGCCAUAGGUGCGAACAUUCUGCGUCGGCAGAUCCUUGGGGCUCUUCUUGGCGUAGACCUCGUGGAUGUAGAGGCGCAACGAGCGAGCUCCACUUAAAGAACCCUAUCGAAAUAUCGAUUGCAGAACAGAAUCGAACUAGAACAAGAACAGCAUGAUCCAUUUCUAGUCUCUCGUAAGUCCACGAUUGACGAGGUCGAGCGCGCAACCUGUGCUCGCUGCGCCAAGAAGAAUCCGCCAAACUUUCUGGACAGGCGCUCAAGACGUUACGUGCAAACCACUGGUGGGCAUGCAGGAUAGUGUCGUCAAACGCUAUGCUACCGGGAUGCGAGAGUGAACUAGCAGGGCGGAAACUAGGGUAUCCUGGCCGUCCAAUCCUAAACAACCUGUUUGGAGUACUGAAACAAGAAAAGCCAUACACGGAUUUUCUUAUGCCUGAUUAAAGUAUCCCAGACAAGACUUAGAACUUAGAAUAUUCAAAAAGAAAAGUCCACGGUAGACACUCUGCAAAGAAAUGGAGCGGCGCUAGUGGUGAUCACCAACGAGCAUGGCAGCAGCGACUUUGCUCGAGGCGAUUCGAAUCGCGGACAAGGUUGGCACAAGAUCCACGAACACAAACUCGAGCAAGGUCUGUAGAAACCCAUGUAGGAUCCUCAUCGCGGCGGUCGGCUAUGUCCGAGACUACCUCAAGCAAAUCCAAGAUCUCAACUUCACGAGCAACGGGCCAGCCUUCGUGUGGGACGAAACCGUGGCUGUCCUUCACAGAGGCCUCCAUCUCCUCAAGUCAUGCCAAGAUGGCGAUUGGAUCGCCCGGAGCCUGCUGUUCGAGGAAAGCUGCGAUGAGUUCCAGAGCAUUUACCACGAGAUCUACAACUGCGUCGAGCUCGUCAGCGUCUAUCUCUUUCAGCUGGCACCGUCCACCUCGCACAGAUCCAGGAUUGCCGAGGCUUACAACUCGUGCCUCAUGAGGCAGAACUCGAGCAGCAUGCUGGAAGAAGCCGGAAGGAACGAUCGGAAGGAGCUCAUGGCUCUCGCAAUGAACCAAGAGCCGGGAAGCCUGACGACCGAGACAGAACGAGCCAAAGAGAUACUCUGCUCCAUGCUCCUGGGAAACAAGUCAGUGAUCAACCACAAGGAAUUGAAGCUGAGAACACACCUGGGACAAGGAGCUUACGGAACCGUGUACGAAGCAAUCUGGCUCGGUCACAAGUUCGCGGUGAAAGUCUUCGCUCAAGGUGACACCAG
rnacentral:lncRNA from 1 species